rnacentral:rRNA from 1 species
UACGUAGGGUGCGAGCGUUGUCCGGAAUUAUUGGGCGUAAAGAGCUUGUAGGUGGCUCGUUGCGUCGGGAGUGAAAACCUGCGGCUUAACCGCAGGCCUGCUUCCGAUACGGGCGAGCUAGAGUUCGGCAGGGGAGACUGGAAUUCCUGGUGUAGCGGUGGAAUGCGCAGAGUAUCAGGAGGAACACCGGUGGCGAAGGCGGGUCUCUGGGCCGAUGACUGACACUGGAGAAGCGAAAGCGUGGGGAGCGAACAGG